AUUGAACGCUGGCGGCAGGCUUAACACAUGCAAGUCGAACGAGUGGCGGACGGGUGAGUAAUGCUUGGGAAUCUAGCUUAUGGAGGGGGAUAACUACGGGAAACUUUAGCUACUACCGCGUACCAUAGGAUGAGCCCAAGUGGGAUUAGGUAGUUGGUGAGGUAAAGGCUCACCAGGCCGACGAGCUCUAGCUGGUCUGAGAGGAUGACCGGCCACACUGGGAGUGAGACACGGCCCAGACUCCUACGAGAGGCAGCAGUGGGGAAUAUUGAGAGAUGGGGGCAACCUGACGCAGCCAUGCCGCGUGAAUGAAGAAGGCCUUCGGGUUGUAAAGUUCUUUCGGUAGCGAAGCGUUAACUACAGAAGAAGCACCGGCUAACUCCGUGCCAGCAGCCGCGGAAUUC
rnacentral:rRNA from 1 species